rnacentral:rRNA from 1 species
GAUGAACGCUGGCGGCGUGCCUAAUACAUGCAAGUCGAGCGAACAGAUGAGGAGCUUGCUCCUCUGACGUUAGCGGCGGACGGGUGAGUAACACGUGGAUAACCUACCUAUAAGACUGGGAUAACUUCGGGAAACCGGAGCUAAUACCGGAUAAUAUAUUGAACCGCAUGGUUCAAUAGUGAAAGACGGUUUUGCUGUCACUUAUAGAUGGAUCCGCGCCGCAUUAGCUAGUUGGUAAUGUAACGGCUUACCAAGGCAACGAUGCUUAGCCGACCUGAGAGGGGAUCGGCCAAACCUGAACUGGGACCCGGGCCAGAACUCCAAGGGAGGGCACAGGAGGGGAACCUUCGGAAUGGGCGAAAGCUUGAACGGGCAACGCCGCGUGAGUGAUUGAGGGCUUCGGAUCCUAAAACUCCGUUAUUAGGGAAGAAAAAAUGUGGAAGGAAACAGGGACGUCUUGACGGGACCUAAACAGAAAGCCCAGGGCAACCUCGGGC